rnacentral:rRNA from 2 species
UACGGAGGGAGCAAGCGUUACUCGGAAUUAUUGGGCGUAAAGGGCGCGUAGGCGAUUUGAAAAGUCUUGUGUGAAAGCCCCGAGCUUAACUCGGGAAGUGCACAAGAAACUGUUGAAUUUGAGUUCCGGAGAGGAAGGCAGAAUUCCCGGUGUAGCGGUGAAAUGCGUAGAUAUCGGGAGGAAUACCAGUGGCGAAGGCGGCCUUCUGGACGGAUACUGACGCUGAGGCGCGAAAGCCAGGGGAGCAAACGGG